UUAUUUUAUCUUUUGGCUAAGAUCAAGAGUAGUAUCUGUUCUUACAGUAUCAGUUUAAUAUCUGAUACAUCCUCCAUAUGAGGAAAUUAUAUUAAACAGAUUUUUAGACUAGCGCGCUGGAAACAGGGCCUUGCUCUGCCUGUGCCCAUGAAUUAACCUGGUAUUGCAGUAUCUCCAGGAAUGGUGCACUGUUA